ACGAACGCUGGCGGCAUGCCUAACCCCUGCAAGUCGCACGAUGCCUUCGGGCAUAGUGGCGCACGGGUGCGUAACGCGUGGGGAUCUGCCUUUCGGUUCGGAAUAACUCAGGGAAACUUGAGCUAAUACCGGAUAACGUCGCAAGACCAAAGAUUUAUCACCGAAAGAUGAGCCCGCGUAGGAUUAGCUAGUUGGUGAGGUAAAGGCUCACCAAGGCGACGAUCCUUAGCUGGUCUGAGAGGAUGAUCAGCCACACUGGGACUGAGACACGGCCCAGACUCCUACGGGAGGCAGCAGUGGGGAAUAUUGGACAAUGGGCGAAAGCCUGAUCCAGCAAUGCCGCGUGAGUGAUGAAGGCCUUAGGGUUGUAAAGCUCUUUUACCCGGGAAGAUAAUGACGGUACCGGGAGAAUAAGCCCCGGCUAACUCCGUG
rnacentral:rRNA from 1 species